rnacentral:rRNA from 1 species
UUGGAGGGCAAGUCUGGUGCCAGCAGCCGCGGUAAUUCCAGCUCCAAUAGCGUAUAUUAAAGUUGUUGUGGUUAAAAAGCUCGUAGUUGAACCUUGGGCCUGGCUGGCCGGUCCGCCUCACCGCGUGUACUGGUCCGGCCGGGUCUUUCCCUCUGUGGAACCCCAUGCCCUUCACUGGGUGUGGCGGGGAAACAGGACUUUUACUUGAAAAAAUUGAGUGCUCCAGGCAGGCCUAUGCUCGAAUACAUUAGCAUGGAAUAAUGAAAUAGGACGUGCGG